GAAGACUUCACCUUACUCCGUGCCCAGCACAUAGGAGGCUCAACAAAAUGCACGUUCGUUUAGGGCUCCUGGAAUCACAGCAUUUACCUGCACGAAAGCCUCACCCGUAAGGCCCCAAAAUGAAGGUGUGUCUUAUACAUGGGAGCAUCUUAUACAUGGGGAAAUACGGUAUCUCCUUCCAGUCCUGAAACGUGGAAAGCAACCACGACCCUGUGAAAAUGGUCAUCUUCAUGGCAACAUGAUGGAGGACCCAGGCUCCGGGGGCUGCCCAGCCGUUUCCUUCAGGACCAUGACAAAGAAAGCUGCCUGCCAUCAUCCAGGUUUUCCUCCCCCGCCCCUCUGCCCCCAUCCCCCCCUUGUAUCCUCCCCAGC